rnacentral:rRNA from 1 species
AUUGAACGCUGGCGGCAGGCCUAACACAUGCAAGUCGAGCGGAUGAAGGGAGCUUGCUCCUGGAUUCAGCGGCGGACGGGUGAGUAAUGCCUAGGAAUCUGCCUGGUAGUGGGGGAUAACGUCCGGAAACGGGCGCUAAUACCGCAUACGUCCUGAGGGAGAAAGUGGGGGAUCUUCGGACCUCACGCUAUCAGAUGAGCCUAGGUCGGAUUAGCUAGUUGGUGGGGUAAAGGCCUACCAAGGCGACGAUCCGUAACUGGUCUGAGAGGAUGAUCAGUCACACUGGAACUGAGACACGGUCCAGACUCCUACGGGAGGCAGCAGUGGGGAAUAUUGGACAAUGGGCGAAAGCCUGAUCCAGCCAGGCCGCGUGUGUGAAGAAGGUCUUCGGAUUGUAAAGCACUUUAAGUUGGGAGGAAGGGCAGUAAGUUAAUACCUUGCUGUUUUGACGUUACCAACAGAAUAAGCACCGGCUAACUACGUG